rnacentral:rRNA from 1 species
CCUACGGUGGCAGCAGUGGGGAAUAUUGGACAAUGGGCGAAAGCCUGAUCCAGCCAUGCCGCGUGUGUGAAGAAGGCCUUCGGGUUGUAAAGCACUUUCAGUGGGGAAGAAAGCCUUGGGGCUAAUACCCUCGAGGAAGGACAUCACCCACAGAAGAAGCACCGGCUAACUCCGUGCCAGCAGCCGCGGUAAUACGGAGGGUGCGAGCGUUAAUCGGAAUUACUGGGCGUAAAGCGCGCGUAGGCGGUCUGAUAAGCCGGUUGUGAAAGCCCCGGGCUCAACCUGGGAACGGCAUCCGGAACUGUCAGGCUAGAGUGCAGGAGAGGAAGGUAGAAUUCCCGGUGUAGCGGUGAAAUGCGUAGAGAUCGGGAGGAAUACCAGUGGCGAAGGCGGCCUUCUGGACUGACACUGACGCUGAGGUGCGAAAGCGUGGGUAGCAAACAGGAUUAGAUACCCAGUAGUC